rnacentral:rRNA from 1 species
AUACGUAGGGUGCGAGCGUUGUCCGGAUUUAUUGGGUUUAAAGGGUGCGUAGGCGGGCUAGUAAGUCAGUGUUCAAAUACAACAGCUUAACUGUUGGCCGGGCAUUGAUACUGCUAGUCUUGAGUAAGGUUAAGGCAGCUGGAAUUUGUGGUGUAGCGGUGAAAUGCUCAGAUACCACAAGGAACGCCGAUCGUGAAGACAGGCUGCAGGGCCUUUACUGACGCUGAGGCACGAAAGUGUGGGGAGC